rnacentral:rRNA from 1 species
AACGAACGCUGGCGGCGCGCCUAAUACAUGCAAGUCGAGCGAGAAGACGUAGCAAUACGUUUGUAAAGCGGCGAACGGGUGAGGAAUACAUGGGUAACCUACCCUCGAGUGGGGAAGUAACUAGCCGAAAGGUUAGCUAAUACCGCGUACGCUCCUUGGACUUCGGUUCAGGGAGGAAAAGACGAUACCGUGGGUAUCGCGCUCUUGGAUGGGCUCAUGUCCUAUCAGCUUGUUGGUGAGGAACGGCUCACCAAGGCUUCGACGGGUAGCUGGUCUGAGAGGACGAUCAGCCACACUGGCACUGCGACACGGGCCAGACUCCUACGGGAGGCAGCAGUAAGGAAUAUUGCGCAAUGGGCGAAAGCCUGACGCAGCGACGCCGC